AUUGAACGCUGGCGGCAGGCUUAACACAUGCAAGUCGAACGAGUGGCGGACGGGUGAGUAAUGCCUGGGAAUCUAGCUUAUGGAGGGGGAUAACUACGGGAAACGGUAGCUAAUACCGCGUACCAUAGGAUGAGCCCAAGUGGGAUUAGGUAGUUGGGGAGUUAAAGGCUCACCAAGCCGACGAUCUCUAGCUGGUCUGAGAGGAUUACCAGCCAAACUGGAACUGAGACACGGUCCAGACUCCUACGGGAGGCAGCAGUGGGGAAUAGUGCGCAAUGGGGGCAACCUGACGCAGCCAUGCCGCGUGAAUGAAGAAGGCCUUCGGGUUGUAAAGUUCUUUCGGUAGCGAGGCGUUAACUACAGAAGAAGCACCGGCUAACUCCGUGCCAGCCGCCGCGGUAAUUC
rnacentral:rRNA from 1 species